rnacentral:rRNA from 1 species
UACGGGGGGGGCAAGCGUUGUUCGGAAUUACUGGGCGUAAAGGGCUCGUAGGCGGCCAACUAAGUCAGACGUGAAAUCCCUCGGCUUAACCGGGGAACUGCGUCUGAUACUGGAUGGCUUGAAUCCGGGAGAGGGAUGCGGAAUUCCAGGUGUAGCGGUGAAAUGCGUAGAUAUCGUGAGGAAGACCAGUGGCGAAGGCGGAUCUCUGGACAGCUACUGACGCUGAGGCGCGAAGGCUAGGGGAGCAAACGGG